AUUGAACGCUGGCGGCAUGCCUUACACAUGCAAGUCGAACGGCAGCACGGGUGCUUGCACCUGGUCGCGAGUGGCGAACGGGUGAGUAAUACAUCGGAACAUGUCCUGUAGUGGGGGAUAGCCCGGCGAAAGCCGGAUUAAUACCGCAUACGAUCUACGGAUGAAAGCGGGGGCCUUCGGGCCUCCGGCCAUAGGGGUGGGCCGAUGGCUGAUUAGCUAGUUGGUGGGGUAAAGGCCUACCAAGGCGACGAUCAGUAGCUGGUCUGAGAGGACGACCAGCCACACUGGGACUGAGACACGGCCCAGACUCCUACGGGAGGCAGCAGUGGGGAAUUUUGGACAAUGGGCGAAAGCCUGAUCCAGCAAUGCCGCGUGUGAAGAAGGCCUUCGGGUUGUAAAGCACUUUUGUCCGGAAAGAAAUCCUUGGCCCUAAUACGGUCGGGGGAUGACGGUACCGGAAGAAUAAGCACCGGCUAACUACGUG
rnacentral:rRNA from 1 species